CAACCUGCCGCUUACUCGGGGAUAGCCUUUCGAAAGAAAGAUUAAUACCCGAUGGUAUAAAGAGUUCNCNUGUUCUCUUUAUUAAAGAAUUUCGGUAAGCGAUGGGGAUGCGUUCCAUUAGAUAGUUGGCGGGGUAACGGCCCACCAAGUCUACGAUGGAUAGGGGUUCUGAGAGGAAGGUCCCCCACAUUGGAACUGAGACACGGUCCAAACUCCUACGGGAGGCAGCAGUGAGGAAUAUUGGUCAAUGGACGAGAGUCUGAACCGGCCAAGUAGCGUGAAGGAUGACUGCCCUAUGGGUUGUAAACUUCUUUUAUAAGGGAAUAAAGUGAGGGACGUGUCCCUUUUUGUAUGUACCUUAUGAAUAAGGAUCGGCUAACUCCGUGCCAGCAGCCGCGGUAAUACGGAGGAUCCGAGCGUUAUCCGGAUUUAUUGGGUUUAAAGGGAGCGUAGGUUGACGUAUAAGUCAGCUGUGAAAGUUUACGGCUCAACCGUGAAAUUGCAGUUGAUACUGUAUGUCUUGAGUGUACAAGAGGUGGGCGGAAUUCGUGGUGAAGCGGUGAAAUGCUUAGAUAUCACGAAGAACUCCGAUUG
rnacentral:rRNA from 1 species